CUGAUCUUGGCGCUUCCCUAUGUAGCCCCUGCACUUGCAUCCUUUUUUCUUGGGAUCUUGAGUAUAACAAACUAUCUUUCCAAUGGCUGAGGGUUGGCCACAUGGGACAUAAAUUCCUUAAGUAACAAAGUGCUUAAAUUGUUUUUCAGGAAAGGCCUUCCGAAUCCCCUCAAGGACAAUGUGAUCAGCUGUUCAAGAAUGGACAUGUGCAGAAGCAGCUAGCUCCUCUGGUCAAUGACCUUUUGACGUCAAAUGUUCCAAAUUCCCUGCAUAGCACAUAACUCCCUCAGGAAAGAAAGAUGUUCCUUCUGAGGCACAGUGACCAUCUUUGCCUUGCAGAGGAAUCUCAAACUCCCUCUUCUUGACAAUCAAUCAACAAGCAGUUUCUCCCUUCUCCCUCUCUGUAAAUUUGCAUUUACACAAUUUACAUCAUUAAGGAUGUAAUUUGUGCAUCAGGGAGACAGAUAUGAGCCUUUCCCCCCUCUGCUCCUGACUUCCUUGCCAGGUGACCUUCCAAGAAAGUUAUUUCUUUUUGCCAUAAUAUCAGCUUUUAUGUACACAGGCAAUGAGACCUUGUUUGGUAUCAAUGACAGUUGCCUCCUGAUCUGUUGGCCUCACCAUAUAUAAAUACUAAUAAAACUUACAUUUUAAAACACGGCACUACAAGGAAGGAGCGACUGAUAGAGGUAAAUGUUGCUGCAAGUUGGAUUUAGUAGUAUGGAAGUCAUCCAUGAUCUUGACAAGUGCACAUGAAAGUUCUAGUUACAUUCAAGAGGUAAAGAUGUAGAGAUGAUAGAAUGUAGCCAACUCUUUAGAGAAGAGUGUUACAAAACCAUGAAGAGAAAUGAAUCAGUAACUAGAGGGAAAUGUGAGGUCCAUAGUUGGUUGUACUCUUGGUUUUAUUUUCAGAAAUAUGAGAC
rnacentral:lncRNA from 1 species